CAUUUACAGUGGGGGGAAAACACAGAUAAUUGCAGAUCCUGUACAUCUCAAACUGUUUGUGGUGAUAGUUACAAUUAUCCAAAAUAAUUGGCAGAAAGAUUUGCGGACUUAAUGUGCCGGGCUAAAUUAAUACUCUUAAAUGCUCGAAUUUUACCAGCCUGUGCUCGUGCCAUCCAUGCUGGAUCUCCUAAAAUGGGCUAAAUUGGCCAUAAGGAGGCGUAAAAAGGUUGCUGGUGUCAUUUUGGAUUGGAGUUUAUCUGAGCAGCUAUUAGGGAGGACAGGGAGGAAUAUCACUUGCACCCGUAAGAAUCUGGGUUUUUUUUCCUUUCUCAACUCAUCCCUCGAAGAGUUUAAAUGGAGGCAGAGUUUUCGUGUGCUGAGCCGUGCUCAGGUUGCUCGCAGGAGGCCAAUCCUCAUCAGCGCUCCUGCUCCAGGCUGCAGGACAAACCCUCUUCUGGUUCCUCUGUCUCCACGGGAGCAUGGUUCCUAAGUGUGGGCUGUAGGCACUCUGGGGCAGAUCCUCUACAGAACAUGAAGGGAGGAGUCCCAGCGCUCAUCUGAGCCCUAGCAUUGGAGCAGGCCCCUGCUGAGUGAGCCCUCGAUGAAGGACAGGAGGGAAGAGAAGAUGGGCUGAAGCCUCCACUGGUGUAAAAGGAGCACAGAAUGCCUGGUUUGGAGAGGUUUCUGUCGUGUCCUGGCCCCACGAAGAGCUCGGCAGCGAUUCUUUUCCAAGGCACAGAGCACGGAUUAACUCAGCGCUCCAAACUCCUUGUUUUCCUUGGCGCGGCGAGCAAGGAGAGCUUACAUGGCAAUCAUACAUUAUACAUGACACGGGCAGAGAGACAGAAAGCAAACAAAACUGAGAUCAAAUGCCCAGGAAAUGCAGCAGCCCGGGGCUCGUGGGGCUGAGAGCAGCUCCUCUCUGCACCUUCCAGGGCAGGAGCCGCAGGCAGGGUGCAGAAAACAAAACCAAAUCCAUCGCCCUCCCAGCAGCCAUCUACAGGGAAAUGGAAGAAUGGAUGCUGGGGGUGCCCAGCCUGGAGAAGGGAAGCUCUGGAGAGAUUUUAGAGCCCCUUCCAGGGCCUAAAGGGGCUGCAGGAGAGCUGGAGAGGGACUGGGGACAAGGGCUGGAGGGACAGGACACAGGGAAUGGCUUCCACUGCCAGAGGGCAGGGCUGGAUGGGAUACUGGAAGGAAUUGUUCUCUGUGAGGGUGGGGAGGCCCUGGCACAGGGUGCCCAGAGCAGCUGUGGCUGCCUCUGGAUCCCUGGAAGGGUCCAAGGCUGGGUUGGAUGGGGCUUGGAGCACCCUGGGAUAGCAGAAGAUGUCCCUGCCCAUGGAAAGGGGGUUGGAAUGAGAUGAUCUUUAAUGUUCCUUUCCAUGGAUUUCUGUGCCUAAUUCAGACUCCUGCAGUAGCUGUGAAGCACCUGGUUUGCUGCUCUAAUCAAUAAAGAGAUAAAACCUGUCAGGAGAGUCAGUUUUAAGCUAGACCUGUGCUUUGGCCCUUUGGCAGAACCAAUUUAUCCAGAGGGUGAUAUCUUAGGGACUGCAGGGCUCUGCCGUGGAUUCAGCUGCACAUCCCUGAAGGAAAUUUGCUCUUCC